rnacentral:rRNA from 1 species
GACGAACGCUGGCGGCGUGCUUAACACAUGCAAGUCGAACGGAAAGGCCCUGCUUUUGUGGGGUGCUCGAGUGGCGAACGGGUGAGUAGCACGUGAGUAACCUGCCCUUGACUUUGGGAUAACUUCAGGAAACUGGGGCUAAUACCGGAUAGGAGCUCCUGCUGCAUGGUGGGGGUUGGAAAGUUUCGGCGGUUGGGGAUGGACUCGCGGCUUAUCAGCUUGUUGGUGGGGUAGUGGCUUACCAAGGCUUUGACGGGUAGCCGGCCUGAGAGGGUGACCGGCCACAUUGGGACUGAGAUACGGCCCAGACUCCUACGGGAGGCAGCAGUGGGGAAUAUUGCACAAUGGGCGGAAGCCUGAUGCAGCAACGCCGCGUGCGGGAUGACGGCCUUCGGGUUGUAAACCGCUUUCGCCUGUGACGAAGCGUGAGUGACGGUAAUGGGUAAAGAAGCACCGGCUAACUACGUGCCAGCAGCCGCGGUGAUACGUAGGGUGCGAGCGUUGUCCGGAUUUAUUGGGCGUAAAGGGCUCGUAGGUGGUUGAUCGCGUCGGAAGUGUAAUCUUGGGGCUUAACCCUGAGCGUGCUUUCGAUACGGGUUGACUUGAGGAAGGUAGGGGAGAAUGGAAUUCCUGGUGGAGCGGUGGAAUGCGCAGAUAUCAGGAGGAACACCAGUGGCGAAGGCGGUUCUCUGGGCCUUUCCUGACGCUGAGGAGCGAAAGCGUGGGGAGCGAACAGGCUUAGAUACCCUGGUAGUCCACGCUGUAAACGGUGGGUACUAGGUGUGGGGUCCAUUCCACGGGUUCCGUGCCGUAGCUAACGCUUUAAGUACCCCGCCUGGGGAGUACGGCCGCAAGGCUAAAACUCAAAGGAAUUGACGGGGCCCCGCACAAGCGGCGGAGCAUGCGGAUUAAUUCGAUGCAACGCGUAGAACCUUACCUGGGUUUGACAUGGAUCGGGAGCGCUCAGAGAUGGGUGUGCCUCUUUUGGGGUCGGUUCACAGGUGGUGCAUGGCUGUCGUCAGCUCGUGUCGUGAGAUGUUGGGUUAAGUCCCGCAACGAGCGCAACCCUUGUUCACUGUUGCCAGCACGUUAUGGUGGGGACUCAGUGGAGACCGCCGGGGUCAACUCGGAGGAAGGUGGGGAUGACGUCAAGUCAUCAUGCCCCUUAUGUCCAGGGCUUCACGCAUGCUACAAUGGCUGGUACAGAGAGUGGCGAGCCUGUGAGGGUGAGCGAAUCCCGGAAAGCCGGUCUCAGUUCGGAUUGGGGUCUGCAACUCGACCUCAUGAAGUCGGAGUCGCUAGUAAUCGCAGAUCAGCAACGCUGCGGUGAAUACGUUCCCGGG